UAGGGAAUCUUCCACAAUGGACGCAAGUCUGAUGGAGCAACGCCGCGUGAGUGAAGAAGGUCUUCGGAUCGUAAAGCUCUGUUGUUGGUGAAGAAGGAUAGAGGCAGUAACUGGUCUUUAUUUGACGGUAAUCAACCAGAAAGUCACGGCUAACUACGUGCCAGCAGCCGCGGUAAUACGUAGGUGGCAAGCGUUGUCCGGAUUUAUUGGGCGUAAAGCGAGCGCAGGCGGAAUGAUAAGUCUGAUGUGAAAGCCCACGGCUCAACCGUGGAACUGCAUCGGAAACUGUCAUUCUUGAGUGCAGAAGAGGAGAGUGGAACUCCAUGUGUAGCGGUGGAAUGCGUAGAUAUAUGGAAGAACACCAGUGGCGAAGGCGGCUCUCUGGUCUGCAACUGACGCUGAGGCUCGAAAGCAUGGGUAGCGAACAGGAUUAGAUACCCUGGUAGUCCAUGCCGUAAACGAUGAGCGCUAGGUGUUGGGGACUUUCCGGUUCUCAGUGCCGCAGCAAACG
rnacentral:rRNA from 1 species